CUCAUUAGUUUUCUCCUUGUUCAUCCAUUACUUCACUACAUACCAAGACAUUACCGUAUCUCUGAAGAGAGCAUCCAGAUGCCCAUCAGAACAGAGUUCAACCCUGUAGCAGCGAACAGAGCUCUUAAUUGUCCAGAGGUUAGCUUUUCUGCUUUGAGAAGGCAUGGUGAACAGAAACGGAAGAGAGGCAAAAGUGGUGGUAGGAGAGCCUCCAAGAAGAGUGUCAAGACCAAUUAAAAGCUAGUAGAAGAAAUGUUGCCACUACUGAAAUCUUUAGGCUGAAUUCCAAAAUUGUUUUAUGUAUAAUUUGUUAUUCUUUUCUUCUUCUUUAUUUUACAAAAUUUUGUAAUGAUUUUGAGGCAACUUGUUCCUAUUGGCUUUGUAAAGCAAACAUGUAUUAGAUCAGUUAUGAAGUUAUAUAAAAUUGUAGUGGUUUGAACAAUUAACCAAUUAAACAUGUAUUGUUUUGAGCAAUUGUGAA